GACGAACGCUGGCGGCGUGCCUAAUACAUGCAAGUUGAGCGCUGAAGGUUGGUACUUGUACCAACUGGAUGAGCAGCGAACGGGUGAGUAACGCGUGGGGUAUCUGCCUUUGAGCGGGGGACAACAUUUGGAAACGAAUGCUAAUACCGCAUAAAAACUUUAAACACAAGUUUUAGGUUUGAAAGAUGCAAUUGCAUCACUCAAAGAUGAUCCCGCGUUGUAUUAGCUAGUUGGUGAGGUAAAGGCUCACCAAGGCGAUGAUACAUAGCCGACCUGAGAGGGUGAUCGGCCACAUUGGGACUGAGACACGGCCCAAACUCCUACGGGAGGCAGCAGUAGGGAAUCUUCGGCAAUGGACGAAAGUCUGACCGAGCAACGCCGCGUGAGUGAAGAAGGUUUUCGGAUCGUAAAACUCUGUUGGUAGAGAAGAACGUUGGUGAGAGUGGAAAGCUCAUCAAGUGACGGUAACUACCCAGAAAGGGACGGCUAACUACGUGCCAGCCGCCGCGGUAAAAC
rnacentral:rRNA from 1 species